CUUGCUUUGGACUCAACACAUCUAACCACUCUUCAGCUGAUAUCCACUUGCUGACAAAUGAAUCUCUCUGGCCCCUGGACUGUGCCCUGAAACACAGCUUAAAACAAAUGAACAGUAAUCCCAGAGAUCCUGAGAUGAGAAAAGGGUGUUUGACUUAUUCAAAGAAGACCAAGGAAGCCCAAAGACCAGAGAAGAGUGCAGGAAAGGGGCGGCGGUCUGAGAUGCAGUCAGAGCAGUGGCAAGCCCCCAGAGUCUGUGGCAAAGACUUCAGGUUUCAUCCUGAAGAGGAAGACAGGUCUUUGGAGAGUUUUGAUCAAGGAAGUGAGAUGAAAUAUCUUAGGCUUACAAAGAACUACUCUGACAUCUAAAUGGAAAAUGGACUGAUGAAGCAAAAGAAGCCACAAGGAAGCCAGUUCAGAGGCUAUUGAAAUGCUCCAGAUACUCAGAGAGUGAGAGCCUUCAGAUUUGGGUGAGUGAUGCCAUUAGAACCAAGAUUUCUUCCAUUCUUCUGCUCUAUCAUUCUCAGCACAACAUGCUUUUCUCAUUAAGGCCGCUGUGGUUCGUCUUCUGCCUGGGAACUGGAUAAAAACAUCAGUGAAUACCCCAAAGAUUUUCAAAAAUGCUUGUUGAUAAAAUGAAGUCAGAAUGUGAGAUGAGCCCUUCCACCUGAGUGAUGUUGGUCUUGGCUGUGUGAUUUGCUUUGGCUGAUGAUAAGUUGAUGGAAGUGAUAGUAAGACAAUGCUGAGCCUCAUCCUCGGAAGUAUCUCUGCCUUCACCUGGCUUUGUGCACCACUGCCCUGGCUUUGAGAAGAACAUGAGCCCAGUAAAUUGUUAGUCCAGGAAGAAUGAGAGAGAAAGUCCUGAGGCAGAGAAGUGGAGAGAAGUUGCUGCUUGAGCUUGAGAAAGAAUGGUGGCAGAGUACAUGCAUGGAAGUGCUACCAUAGCUGCUCUGAAAUCAGAGUGCUUGGCCCUGGUUCUCUCAUUUCAAGGAAAGUGGAAUUAUAAGAAGACCCCAUCUGACAAGGCUCAUAAAGGAGAGCAACUCUUAUGGAAUACAUCCAAGAUAUAUACGUCUUUGAAGAAAGACAUCACUCAACUGUGAAAGAUCACCAUGACCCCUGCUUUAAUUUCAUCAAAAAACUUAGUCCAUCAGCUCAGUUACCCUUUAGCCUUGCAUGGGAAUUGACUCAGAGCUUCUGCAAGAUCAGGGUGAAUAUGAAUUGUUUAGCUUCAGAUGAUCAUUCCUAAAGUGAAAACUCCUGGAACUUAUUGGCAAAAAAGAGAACUCUUUGCUAUUUCUAAUAUAAAUGUGUUAUUAGAAUUGGUCUACUGUUCUAAUAAAUAACAGUAAUGGAA
rnacentral:lncRNA from 1 species